AACGCACGAGACCUGCGGACCUGCGGAGGGAUCAUUAUAGGAAUAUAAGCAUUACAAAAACGAGAAGGGAAAGAAUUUUCUUCUUCUUGGAAAGGUAUAAUGAUGGGGGUGGUGGUGGGAGUGAGUAAGUAAAAGCUUGCUGCUGCUGCUGCUGCUGCCAUUGUUAUAUUUUUCAACCAAACAAACAAAUGCAACUAUAUGAAAAAGAGGGAUGGAUUGGAUUCUCUACAUAUGUAUGUA
rnacentral:misc_RNA from 1 species